AUCAGAUAAUAUUUGCCGUUGAACGUUUAAAAAAAAUGUAUUUUAUUAUAUUCUUACCAUUGUGUAUUCAUUUUUUUCGCACUUUUAUUAAACGGAUAAUGUUACAAUGUUUCUAAAAAAAAAAAUGUCCAAGGUGCCCCUAAAACCAGGAAUACCAAUUAUUUUAUACCACAACUCUUAAACAAUACAUUCAUCAAUGAUUUCAUUUUGGUGAUUCGUAUGCCGUACAAAAUAUUUAAUUUCAUUAAAAAAAAAAAACUACCUCAUUAUUUGGUUUGAUGGACGACAAUGAAUGUGUAAGUCUGCUUUUAUUAUAAAAUCUAUAUAAACGUUACAAUAUAAGAUAUUUAAUUCAAUUCAAAUGUAUCCGUAAAAUCACUAGAUUACUAGGGAAAAACCUUUUGAGAAACCGCUGACUUAUGAAGUAAUUCUUUCAUAAUGCUACUUAUUAAUACUUGGUACUUAAAAAUUUCCGUGGUGUCUUCCUCCAUAACAUUGAACGUUAUUUUUGCGAUCGCUUUUCAAUCAAGUGAACGAUGUUCUCGUGACUUAUAUUGCGUUCGUUGAUGUAUUAUUACCGUUAAUAGACCUUUCGAUUUCUUUUUGGUUAGUGCAAUAAUUAUUCAGUUUAUUGCCACAAAAUUUGGUUUCCUCGUUAAUAAUUUACGACUGAAAAUAUUACAUUACAUUAUAGAUAAAUGGCUGGACUAGUUAAAUGGCAAUACAGGUUAUAAAUUAUUAUAUUGAUUUAUGUGCCCAAAUUUCCUAAUUCUUAAAUCUAAGGUUCUACCAUGAAUUAUUGUACUCUGUAUUUUUACCAUCUAUUACUGUGUCCAAUUUAAAUCCGAAUGACGACCGAUUUUGUAUCGCAUUCAUUGCAUCGCAUAGCAGAAAUUGUUUAUGUCCAUUGAAAUAACGUUCAAUUUUAUAUUGAUAUAACCUUACUGUCAGUGUUGUGCUUGGAUAAAAAAAAAAUUAUUUAGAUAUAGAUUGAUAAAAUCACUUUUAUCUAGAUAUGUAUAUAAGGCAUCUACGUUUUCAUCCGUUUGUAGGCGAAUUAUUUUGGUCUUAGGUAAUGAUUGUAUUAUGUGAUGAUCCAUUUCAAAAUAUAAAAUAUUUCACCAAUAAAAUAAAAUUGAAAGUCGUAGACAAAAUCAUGAAAAAUAUGAAGACGGUCUGACGAUAAACACUGCACAUGUUGUGAAUGAGAGUGCGCUGCGUACAGUACAAGUUUUUAAUAAAUAACGUACGUUUCACGCCUAAUAUUUAUUUUGUUGUACAAUAAUUAUUAUGUAGACAUAUCAAAGUACGAAUUCAUGGAAUUGGGUUCCGGUAAUGACAAUUAUUUAGAGCACAUGAUUACAUGAAUAAUGGACAUAAUUUAUAUAUAAAUAUUGAAUGAAUGAUGAUGGAGAAACGAUCAAUUUCUGUUAUUUAUAAACCAUCUACCGCGCAGCUGCAAUAAUAACCAGUUUAGACCUAUGGUGCGUUAUCUCUGGUUCCAAUAAUCUAGUAAAUGAUCUUUCGGCAUUCGUAAUACCACAGAACAAUAGUAAUACGGGCAUGAGACUUCCCCGUAUAGGCCAUACUAUGAAAUUAUAAAUAAUUCUCACUAUCAUGCAUAUUAUGUAGGGUAUUUUAAGUGUAAAGAUUAAUGUAUUAAAAGCUUAACUGCUGAUUGGUAAUAAUUGCCUACCACUAAAUUUUACACUAGAAUUUAUGAAAAACGAUUCGUUUCCAAAUUUAUACAAAUUUUUGCAAAUUAUAAUCACAAUUCUGGUAAGCUCUGCUACUUACGAGCAAAGUUUUUCGAAAAUGUGGCGGAUAAAAAACUGGCUAAGAUCAAGCAUGUUUCAGGAAAGGUUUAUCAAUUUAUCUUUGUUGCAUAUUGAAAAAUAUUAAAUCAGCUAAACACCAUAACUAUAUUGAAUAAAUAUUGCAUGAAACCCAGAAAAAUUAUGCUGAUUUAAAAUGUACCAAUAAUAUAUUAUUUAUUUACCAACAAUAUAAAGGAAUUAAAAUGUACCAAGAUGUGUGAAAUUCGUUGGGUUGAACGCCACGAUAGUUUGUUACCGUUUAAAGAGCUAUAUUUACCAAUAACUAACACAUUAAGAGAACUCGAACAGUAUCAUAAUUUAGAAACAUCAAAACUUGCAUUUCAACUUUCAAAAACUACUACAUCAAGUUCGUUUGUAAUUUCAUUGUAAAUUACAGAAAAAUUAUUUUCCAUAACACUGCCUUUGUGUAAAUCUUUACAACAAAUAAACGUUGAUUUAUCCGAGUAUUGUGAAUAUGUCAAUAACUGUGUGCAAGUUAUUAAUUCAAUUCAUGAAAUAGUGAGGAAGAAUUCCACAAAUUAUUUUUUAAUGUCGAAAAUGUAUUAACCUUUGAAGACGAAACGGUUAAAACGCCACGACUAAUUAGGCAAUCUACCUAUCGUAACAAUAUUUCGGCAGAUUCACCAAAACAGUACUAUAUAUCAAUUUUUUUGCCAUUUAUAAACUACUUCAAAAGUCAAUUAAUAGAAAGAUAAAACACAAUUACAUUAUUUCUUAUUUACAAAAUUUGAUUCCAAGGAGCAAUGAAUUUAAAAAAUGCAUUGAUUUUUACAAAAGCUUUUUACCGACUUAUGAAACUUUUGAAUCAGAAUUGAAGAUGUGGGUGGAAAAAUGGAAAUCGAUACCCGAUAAUAAAUUUCCUAAAUCUGCAAUCAAUACUUUAGGCGUCAUGUCGAAGGCCUUUUACCCAAACAUUUGGUGUUUGAUAUCCAUACUUGCAACACUCCCAGUGCCGACUUCGUCUGCAGAGCGUUCUUUUUCAACUUUAAGACGAUUAAAAACCUAUUUGAGGAAUAGCUGCAGUGAAGAUCGUCUAACAGGUUUAGCUUUAUUGUCAGUCCACUGAGGUAUCCAAAUAAACAUUGAAGAAAUAAUACAUUUUCUAGAAUGUCACGUAAAGUUGACAUUGUCUUAUGAAUUAAAAUUGUAGA